UUUCAGACUAAGAAUGGAACCAGUAAAAGUGUCCUGUGUCUUUAUAGAGAGCCGAUGGGUGGUGAAAAUCGGCAGGCGCACAUUUUGAACUCAUCCAUGAGUCACUCCCUGAAAAUUCAUCAGUAGGGGAUGUCGGUUUCCUCCGUUACCGGGAUAGACAGUGUCAGCUGUCGAUAAGGGGAUUUGCCGCAUGCGGCAAGUCAAUUAGAGUGGUACCGCGAGUAUAACCUCGUCUCUAUA
rnacentral:ncRNA from 1 species